GAUGAACGCUGGCGGCGUGCCUAAUACAUGCAAGUCGAGCGAACGGACUAGAAGCUUGCUUCUCUGAUGUUAGCGGCGGACGGGUGAGUAACACGUGGAUAACCUACCUAUAAGACUGGGAUAACUUCGGGAAACCGUAGCUAAUACCGGAUAAUAUUUUGAACCGCAUGGUUCAAAAGUGAAAGACGGUCUUGCUGUCACUUAUAGAUGGAUCCGCGCUGCAUUAGCUAGUUGGUAAGGUAACGGCUUACCAAGGCAACGAUGCAUAGCCGACCUGAGAGGGUGAUCGGCCACACUGGAACUGGGACACGGUCCAGACGCCUACGGGAGGCAGCAGUAGGGAAUCUUCCGCAAUGGGCGAAAGCCUGACGGAGCAACGCCGAGUGAGUGAUGAAGGUCUUCGGAUCGUAAAACUCUGUUAUUAGGGAAGAACAUAUGUGUAAGUAACUGUGCACAUCUUGACGGUACCUAAUCAGAAAGCCACGGCUAACUACGUG
rnacentral:rRNA from 1 species